AACGCUCGCUGCCCUCCUCCAUACGCGAUGCUUAAGCCAUGAACUCCAACUCUCGAAAAGCUUCAUCAAAACCCUAAUCCUAAACCUAAUUCAAUACACCAUUCGAAGGUCAAUUUGAACAGCAAAGAAGAAAAGGAAGUCCGAAAUGGAGGGUGCGAGUUUUUUGAGUAGUAGAAGUAUCGGAUACAGGCCAGCGCCGAAUGAUUCCGUCGCGGCGUUAGCGAGUAACAAUAAUCAGAAGUCAUUAACUCCGAUUCUUGAUCGGUUCAAGGUUUUGUUGAAGCAAAGGGAGGAAGAAAUUAGGGUUUCUAGCGGGGGAGAUGAUGAUAUUGAAAGUCCGGUGCUUAGUACUGAAGAAAUUGUGGAGUUAUAUGAAGAUGUUUUGUCGGAGUUGAUUAUCAAUUCGAAACCGAUUAUUACUGAUCUCACGAUAAUCGCCGGAGAGCAGAGAGGACAUGGUGCAGGCAUUGCGGAUGCAAUUUGUGCUCGAAUUAUUGAGGUUCCAGUUGAGCAAAAACUUCCUUCUUUAUAUCUUCUGGAUAGUAUUGUCAAAAAUAUUGGUAGAGAGUACGUGAGACACUUUUCUGCCCGCUUGCCUGAGGUCUAUUGUGCGGCAUACAGACAAGUGCACCCAAGUCUGCAUCCUUCCAUGCGACAUCUUUUUGGUACGUGGGCAACAGUGUUCCCAUCUUCUGUUCUCCGCAAGAUUGAAACUCAACUACAAUUUUCCCCUCCAUCAAGUUAUCAAUCUUCUGGUUUAAAAGAUUCUGAAUCUCCAAGACCAGCUCAUGGUAUACAUGUCAAUCCAAAGUACUUGGAGGCAAGACGUCAACUUGAAAGCUCCACUGCAGAUAGUAAAAUUCAACAUGCAAGAGCAAAUUCAGCUCCCAAGAUUCUUGGACAGCCUUGCACUGGAUUUGAUGAAUACGAAUCUGAUAACGGGGAACAGUCAUUGGGCUCAACUAGUCAUAUAGCUCGUCCGCUUUUUGGUCUUUCUCAUGCCAGACCUCCAUCACCAGCUCUUGAAGAAUUUGCUAUAGCCGAUUCUCCUAGAAGGGUUGUUGAAGGAGCAUCACCAUCAUAUCAUGGAUAUGGUUAUAGACCUGGUGGUGUGACAGCCGGAGAUGACGAACCACGUGACUGGCGGAGAUCCCAUCUUUCUGGUGCCUCACGGCAGCUUGAAGCUUCUACAACACAUAGUGUAAGUAAUGGAUUCGAUAUUCAGAGACCCAGGGAUUUGAUUAACGCUUAUGGAACAGAUGAACGGAAUAAAACGACAAACCAGAAGCUUCAACAUGUGAAAAACUUAACGAUAAAUGGGUUAGGCAGUAAGGUUGGUGGACAGACAUGGCAAAAUGCUGAAGAAGAGGAGUUUGAGUGGGAAGAUAUGAGUCCGACUUUAGCAGAUCGUGGUCGUGGUGGUGAUUUAUUUUCUUUACCGGGUAGCUCUAAAGCGGGUCAUGCCCGUGGAGCCAACCGGUCUAUACCCACAAAGACUGAUUUCGGCAGACGGGAUUGGUCUAGCCAGGAGCUGCUUCCUUCAGUUGCCCCCAACAAUAGAGUUUCCUUGCCUGAGCGUGGAUUAAAGCGGAAGAUUGCUGGAUUCCAAAAUGAGGCUUCAGAUAUUCCAGUUCCACACUACCCACAAGAAUCAUCAAAUCUUUCUCAUGACCAGCCAUGGGGAGCUCAGCAUCAUUAUAAUCCUCAUGGGCGAAGGCCGCCUCCUCUCAUCGAUAGCUUUCUAGGUGCCAAUCCACAACAUCACUUGUCUUCGUUGCCCAGAUUGAAUUCAUCAAGUCACGGUAUGAUGAAUCCCGAGGCAUCUAUACCAGCAUCAAAAGGAGCUUGGCGACCCCAAGUAAACAUACAAAAAUCUCAACCACUUCCCGUUCUGCCUUCUCUCUCAUUUCAGAAACAUGGUAGGAGUCAGUUUGACACGUUGAAUGCUAGCAAUUCAGCAGUAAAUGACAAUUCGUCGUUUUUGCAUCAGCAGCAGUUUGAUACUAGUGAAAGCAGAUUGUCGAGCCAACUACCUCAACUCCCUAAUCAGCAGGCUGGGUUCGCCCCCCAUCAGCAAAUCCCGGGCCAGAACACUAGGUUCUCAUCUCAAGAUCUUCGAAAUAUGGUAUCAACCACUUUAGGUUUUAACCCAUCUCAUCUAGCAUCGCGACCCAUGAUACGUGGGUAUACCCCUCAAAGAUUUGAUGGCUCUGGGGGGGCUUCCUUGAAUCCAGUUCCAGGAAUGCAGUCAUCAAUGCCUUUUCAUUUACAUGGCGUAGGUGUGCCUCCUUUACCUCCAGGCCCCCCUCCGAUUCCUCAACUUCCUCUAUCAAUUGGCCCGACACAGCCAGGUGGGGGCGCACUUUCUGGUUUAUUUAGUUCUCUUGUGGCCCAAGGUCUGCUCUCACUGACCAAGACUCCUGAACAGGAUUCCGUUGGGCUUGAGUUUGAUCCUGAUGUUCUCAAGACACGUCACGAAUCUGCAAUAAUUGCGUUGUAUGCUGAUCUGCCCAGACAAUGCAAAACAUGCGGUCGCCGGUUUAAAUUGCAAGAAGAACACAGUAGUCAUAUGGAUUGGCAUGUGACCAAGAAUCGGGUAUCGAAAAGCCGCAAGCAAAAGCCCUCUCAGAAGUGGUUUGCUAAUGUUAGUUUGUGGCUUAGUAGUGCAGAGGCAUUGGGAACCGAUCCAGUUCCGGGAUUUCUUAAUCAAUCUGAGAAUGUUGUCGAAAAGAAGGAUGAUGAGGAUAUGGCUGUUCCAGCUGAUGAGGAUCAGAAUGUCUGUGCACUAUGUGGAGAACCGUUUGAUGAUUUUUACAGUGAUGAAACAGAAGAAUGGAUGUAUAGAGGUGCUGUCUACAUGAAUGCUCCGUCUGAAUUAACUGUAGGCAUGGAUAGAUCUCGGCUAGGCCCUAUCGUUCAUGCUAAAUGCAGAUCCGAGUCGACUGUGGCUCCUCCUGAUGAUUCUGGCAACAAUGAACGGGUAUUUAACGAAGAUCGGAUGCGUAGUUAGCACCAAGCUUAAUCUGACUUUUAGGUCCUUAUCUGAUUCUUGUUUCUUAGACAUACCAGUGUUCUAAAUGGCUCGCCGCAGUAGGCGUUGUCGCUCAAGGCUUGUGUCUGAUGUCUCGUUAAGCCCGUGGCAUGCCAUGGCCUAAUGCACGGUUUUUAUCUAUGCAUCUUGUUGCUUAUGGUUCUUUGCAGGGAGGGCAACUUCUACACUGGGGAUUUUACAAUCAACUGCAACAUUAAUGACGAUCUCUUUGAUCGGCUGCAAGAACCUUGCGGUGCGUACAUUCUGGUGAUCUCUGUUCUGUCCAGUGUACCAAAUGCACCCUUAUUGUUGUUUUAGUAUGAUUUGGUUUUGAUUUGAGUGUAAGGCUCGGUCCUUGGUCGUUAUCCGUCUUGUUCCUAACCAGGUUCUCAACUGGGCCAAGAUCGCGAUGGUGCGGUCAUCUUUGAUACCUCUGCACUUAACUAUGACCUUGGUGGCAUGAGAGAGGACCCUAAUGCUGGAAUAUUGCUACCAAGCCAACAUUGGCUUUUACAACUUGGGGUUUUCAUGGAAACAACCAUUCUAAAUCAUUGGGUAGAGACCAAGUUUGCGUACAUCCCACCCCCAGACUCCACCCUGGGUUGGAUAUACCUUCUCUACUUCUUUGAGUAGAUGUCAGGUCUGUGUAUGUCUUGCCCCUGGACUCCACCCUGAGGGUGGGAUAUUCUCUACUUCUUGGAGUAGAUGUAGAGUAGAUGUCAGGUAUGUGUACAUCUCACCCCCAUACUCCAUCUUGGAGGUGGGGAUAUACCUUCAUUACUUCUUGGGUUGGAUGCCACGUAUGCGUACAUCUCACCCCAGACUUCACCUUGGGGGUGGGAUAUACCUUCUCUACUUCUUGGGUUAGAUAUCAGGUUUGUUUCCAUCUCAUUCCCAGACUCCAUAUUGGGGGUGGGAUAUACCUUCUCUACUUCUUGGGGUAGAUAUCAUGUCUGCAUAUAUCCCAUCUCAGACUUCAAGGGUGGAGUUUGGUGGUGCGAUAUACCGGGAAUGUUGGAGUAUGGUGGUGGGAUAUACCGGGGAUGUUUGGUUAUUCAUUCAAUAGUACGGUUUUUGGGAGAAAGAAAAAAUCUGUUGUGCUUGUAAAAAACGGAUGAAGUUUAAAUUUCGAAGUAUCAGCCAUGUUGAAUGGUGUUUGUAGACAAUAUUUCUCAUGCACACAAGUCCCUCCGAUGGCGUUUACGAGUUGUGUAUGGGAUGGUUUUACUAGGUCCCAUAAGUUGAGCCAAGUUACUUGGGCUCGGAUGUGAUUCUAGCUUGAUCAACUUCGGGUCAACUUGAAUACGAGUGAUAGUUUCUCUGUUUUUGCCUCGUAAACUCCUGUUUCCCAACUCUUAAACACUUUCCAAUAUUCAGGUGCUA